GGAAGGGAUGUUGCAGGCAACUGAGUAAGACAGAAAUAUUAUAGACAGUCAGACAGGGCUGGGCUCUCAAAAGAGCCAAUGCAGAAGACCAGAUACCUUGCUAUGUUGGAGGAGACAAACACCUCCCGCUGUGGGCCAGAUCUCAAGACAAAAGGCAAAGCAAACACACACUCACCUUAAGGAUUGAUAGUCUAAAUAGGUCUCUAUCACCCUGAGAAAGCCAGGAGUCACCAUCGCAACCCCCUACAGGAAGAAUCACUGUUCUCUAAGCAUGCCUGCUUGCUAUGUGACUCGCUUCCCCAUCUGUUCCUGAUUUAAUCAGUUUUACCUGAGCAAUUAGUCUUAUUUGGUUAACCACAGUUCUAUCCCAACUCAUGCCCACUUUGCAAGUUCUCUUUUUCCCCAUCUUAGACUUGUGUUACUUCGUGGUUUCACUCGAUAAAAGUCCCUAGAAAAGACAGAGUCUUUGGCAACCCACUCAGGAUCCCUUCUGUCUCUCUCAGAUAGAAGCGUUCUUUCUCUCAGUGAAUAUAUUCUGCCCUUAACCUCCUUUAUCCCUAAAAUUCAUUCUUCAAUUCCAAAGAACACGAACUCAUAUUGGGCCAUCUAGUAGGUUGGGAGUUUCAUUUCCCUAUAUCAGGGAGAGAAAGAAGACAAAAGAAAAAGAAAUGGGCCAGGGAUUUAGUUCAGUGUCGCAAGCGCCUGCCUGGCAAGCGUGUAGUCCUGAGUUUGACCCCCGGUACCAAAAGAAAAAGAAAAAGAAAAUCUCCCUGAUAAGGCUCUGAGGAUCACAGCAAGUGGAUUAAUACACAGAAAGCUCCUAAAACAAUGCCUCGCACAUGUGAUGAACUCGUAGAAAGGCUAGUUAGUAUUAUUACAGGAGCUGUGUAGUGUGGGGAUGCUGCUGAGGAUCCAGGUGCUGCUGAGGCUAUAGACCUGGUGAAUUAAGUCACCUUUGCAGCUUUCUGGAGAGACAGAGACAGCCACAAGCAAGUGCAACUGGCAACAUUCAUGGGCUACCAAUGGGCUGGGGAGUAAUAGUCACACACAAGCAAAGCAAAAGGGUAAUUAUAUCCUAGCAGCCCUUCCUCCUGCAUUUGCUGUCAGGCUGAGUAGUUUGAUGGCCUUGCUAAGACUUUAGGGGGCAGGGAAUGUAGCUCAGUGUAGAGCCUGCCAAGUAGUAUGCACAAUGUCCUGGCUUCAAUUCCAAGACUAAAAAACAAAACAAAAAAUCUAGGCUGAACUCCCCCAUGCUCACUCUCCACAAGUGUGCUUAACUGCAGUUCAAGUCUUGCCUAAACCUCAGAAAAACCGGUUCUUUUCUCCAAACCACUCUCCAACCAUACCACCCUGCCCUGGCUCUGACUCUGAUUAGCUCUGUUGUGAACUCCAGAGAUCCAGAGAUCGCAAUAAACAAGUCUGUAGCAACGCAUGCACUCUGAGAGGCUAAGUCAGGAAAACUGCAAUUGAGCUCAGUUUGUGAAGUUUAGGAAUUUAGUGAGACCUUGACUCAAAAAUUUAAAAAGUUAAAUGUUUGUGUUCUCUAAAAUCAAAGAAUGAAUUUUAGGAACAACAGAGAUUAAGGACAGAAUAUAUUUAUUGAGAGAAAGAAAGCUUCUCUCAGAGAGAGAGAGAGAGAGAGAGAGAGAGAGAGAGAGAGAGAGAGAGAGGGAGAGAAGGGGUCCUGAGUGGUUUGCAAGGAUUCUGUCUUUUCUAGGGACUUUUAAAGAGUAAAAUCAUGGGGUGAGACGGGUUCAAGGUGGAGAAAACUGGGAACUCACAAGGCAGAUGGGCAUUCUUGUAAUCCACAAAUGAGCCCCCCAGAGUCCCCAACCUCAAGUCCAAAAAUGGGGCAAAAUAUUAUUUUAAAAAGCAGCGCUGAUUUAUUUUAUCCUGGGCCCAGAGACACAGUGCAGUUGGAGUUUGCUAAAGCUGUGUGUCUCUCUUAAAACUUGCAGUCUUUUUGUAGAUAUCACAGUUUACAAAGUUAGGGGUUAUGGGCAUGGAUCAGGAAAUCUGCUAAGGAAAUGUUUCCCUUAGCAGAGGACAGAGAAGUCUAGCAGUCAUUAACAAUCCUUUGUCAGUUUAUUUUAGCACCACAUCUGUUAUUUGUAGAGGGCAACAGUGGUUAACAUAUCAAUUAGAUUAGGUUCCCAGGUGUUGGGAGCCACCACAUUGCCGAGCCGCCGCAUAUAGCGAUCAUGCGGCCUGUGGUAAAGAGUAAAGCCUGAGUUAGAUUACCCCUCCCAUCGAGCACGUUAGUUUCCUGCUUACCGCGUAAACAACCCGCUCAAUAAUAUGUUAGCCAAUCAGCUUGCCUUGCUUACUUUAAUAUGAUUGGACACUGUAUCCGUAUAUAUACUGGUGCCACCCCUGGGGGGAAGUAGAAGCCCGGAAGGAGCCGCGGAGAGCGGACCGGUAGAGGCUUCGGAGCGAAGCACGGAAGGAGCCGCGGGGAGCGGACCAGAGGAGGCUUCGGCUGGGAGCGAUCCCAGGGCAGGCUGUACGGAGAGAAAAUAAAAGAAAAGGUUGUCCACUGCCAGGCUUUGUCGUGUGUCCUUCCUGCCGGCCGGGAGCGACAUCGACAUUUGGUGGCCCGCACGGGGAACAACUGAUCACCCCCGAGACGUGGUAGUGGACAACGUUCCUUGAUACAGCACUGCGAGACAGCUGGAACCGAGGCGCGGUUUGUGUUUUUCUGCAGGAAUCGGGACGAGAACCACUGUGGGUACCGGAGAGACUGACACGGGCGACAAAGCCCUCGACUGAAGACCAGACCUGCCCUACCGGAGAUCCAUCACAGACCAACCAACAAGAUGAAUAGAAAUAGCGGUAGCCCGAAAUGGACAAGAAGAUCCUCAGGCAUAUGCAUGGCUCGCUCGCCUAGCCUACGACCGAGUCUAGGGACGGUGAGCUUCCCACACUCCUCCUCUAAAAAAUUAUGAUAUAGCAGGGUAGAUGAGUCAAUGACGGGUAAGAGCAUGCCUCCCCAGCAUGACUCAACCUAAGACAGGCCCUACCCCAUACCGCACGAAAGCCGCUGAAUUACUAGGUUCCGCCCGAACCAAAUGUCGCCCCGGGGGGAUCAUGCGGAACGACAUGAGUGUAUGCCUGUGUGCAUCCAGGUUCCGUCCGGUUCCUUCCUGGCCCUGGAAAAAGGACGAGGGCCUCGGGGCCUCGGCAGACUCGGGGACGGCCGACCCGGGCCGACGCCGAGAGCCCUUGGUGGGCCUCCUAUCAGGGCAUAGGCCUCUACACUCAAUUCAGGACGGGCUGCGAUGCGUAGACUUAUUUAAAAUAAAAAAGGGGGAGAUGUUGGGAGCCACCACAUUGCCGAGCCGCCGCAUAUAGCGAUCAUGCGGCCUGUGGUAAAGAGUAAAGCCUGAGUUAGAUUACCCCUCCCAUCGAGCACGUUAGUUUCCUGCUUACCGCAUAAACAACCCGCUCAAUAAUAUGUUAGCCAAUCAGCUUGCCUUGCUUACUUUAAUAUGAUUGGACACUGUAUCCGUAUAUAUACUGGUGCCACCCCUGGGGGGAAGUAGAAGCCCGGAAGGAGCCGCGGAGAGCGGACCGGUAGAGGCUUCGGAGCGAAGCCCGGAAGGAGCCGCGGAGAGCGGACCGGUAGAGGCUUCGGAGCGAAGCACGGAAGGAGCCGCGGGGAGCGGACCAGAGGAGGCUUCGGCUGGGAGCGAUCCCAGGGCAGGCUGUACGGAGAGAAAAUAAAAGAAAAGGUUGUCCACUGCCA